rnacentral:lncRNA from 1 species
AAAAUAAAAAGUAUUUUUAAAGAUCCUGUAAAGAAAUUAUAAAGAAAUAACAUAGGAAUUAAAAAAUAUACUAAAAUAGAAAUCUUAAUAAAAUAUUAAAAUAGAAGCUUUAAUUAAAUCCUAAUAAAAUCCUAACCAAAUCUUAAUCAAAUCCUAACCAAAUCCUAACUAAAUCCUCAUCAAAUCAUAACCAAAUCAUAACCAAAUCUUAAUCAAACUCUAACCAAAAUCUAAUCAAAUCCUAAUCAAAUCUUAACCAAACCCUAAUCAAAUCCCAACCAAACCCUAAUCAAAUCCCAACCAAACCCUAAUCAAAUCCCAACCAAACCCUAAUCAAAUCCCAACCAAAGCCUAAUCAAACCUUAGUCAAUCAUAAAUAAAUCCUAAUUAAAUCAUAAAAAAAUUCUAACCAAAUUCUAACCAAAUCCUAGUCAAAUCUUAAACAAAUCUUAAUCAAAUCCUAAUCUAAUUUUAAUCAAAUUCUAGCCAAUCCUGAAUAAACUCUAAUCAAAUCCUAAACAAAAUCUUAAUCAAAUCCUAACCAAUUCCUAGUCAAAUCCUACAUAAAUUCUAAUCAAAUCCUUAUUAAAUCCUAACAAAUUCUAACCAAAUCUUAAUCAAAUCCUAAAUAAAUCUUAUCCAAAUCCUAAUCAAAUUCUAAACAUAUCAUAACCAAAUCCUAAAUAAUC